AUGAUUAGCAAGGAGGAUUUGUAUGAUGUUCCGAAGAUAAUGGCUCUUCUGUGUCCUGAAGAAGCAAGUUUUGUAAAGCAAGAGACUCCGUUGCCUGAAAAAUCUUAUGGUAAUAAGUCUGGCAAUGUUAUUUCUGGAAACAUUCCUAAGGCUGCACAAGAUAAUGAGAUGGAGCGUAGUAGUGAGAUGGCUUUAGCUGAUGACAUACUCAUUGAGAAGCUUGAGACUCUUCGAGCCGAAGGCCUCGAAAAUCCAAGGGCUCUCAUUGAACUCCUUGUAAGUGCCCUUCCAUGGCUGGAAAUUAACACUCCAGCAGGGAUUGAUAAACGAUUGUUGGACAAUGUCAGGCGCAUCUGCAAUGAGUUCGAAAAUGGUUCUGGCAGAGUGAGGGGAAGAGCUUUUCUUGCUGUGGAGAAGUUGUGCCAAGGUGAGAACAAACUGCAGCUGAUCUUCCGAGUGCUGACUGAGGCCCUCCUAAGGAGGAUUGAAGCGACAAAGAAAAGCAUGAAUGACUGGAGCAGCGCUGCUGCUGUCCAGCCUCAGGCUGAUGCCGACGUAUGCUCACAUGACGACGAACCUGACACGGGAGAAGCUGCGGCCUCGACUUCCAGAAAGGCAGUGCAGAAGCACAAGAGCAAGUAG
rnacentral:rRNA from 1 species